rnacentral:rRNA from 1 species
GAUGAACGCUGGCGGCGUGCCUAAUACAUGCAAGUCGAGCGAAUGGAUUAAGAGCUUGCUCUUAUGAAGUUAGCGGCGGACGGGUGAGUAACACGUGGGUAACCUGCCCUUAAGACUGGGAUAACUCCGGGAAACCGGGGCUAAUACCCGAUAACAUUUUGAAACGCAUGGUUCGAAAUUGACAUUCGGCUUCGGCUUGCACUUAUGGAUGUACCCGCGUCGCAUUAGCUAGUUGGUGAGGUAACGGCUCACCAAGGCAACGAAGCGUAGCCGACCUGAGAGGGUGAUCGGCCACACUGGGACUGAGACACGGCCCAGACUCCUACGGGAGGCAGCAGUAGGGAAUCUUCCGCAAUGGACGAAAGUCUGACGGAGCAACGCCGCGUGAGUGAUGAAGGCUUUCGGGUCGUAAAACUCUGUUGUUAGGGAAGAACAAGUGCUAGUUGAAUAAGCUGGCACCUUGACGGUACCUAACCAGAAGGCCACGGCUAACUACGUGCCAGCCGCCGCGGUAA